AUAUGUCUUAUCAGAACAAGCUAACAUACAUUAAAUACUGUUACCAUGAGAAGGCUAACAAGAUCUAACAAGUACAAUGCAUUAUCAAGUAACUACCAAUCAACAGUCAUACAUCCUUUUAAUUAGGUAGUAUAGUUGCUUAUUUAUCUCAUACAGUUAGCUAAGUUGGUCGUACACAUAGCUAUUUAUUAAACGUUCUGAGCUAAGAAGGGAGUUCACAUUCAAUACCAAAGUAGUCACUUAACAAGAUGAAUCUAGUUUUGAAACUAUAUCAAAAUUGAAGAUCAAUCAUUAACAACAACGAACAGACAGUUUUAAGAUCAUUCAACAACAAUCAUACUUGAAAAUGUCGAGAAGGAAACAAGUGCUUACCUUUUAAUGUCGAUGAAGAUGUUGGUUUUCGUGGUUAUUUUGUCCUUAUAAUGCUUCUUCACUACUCACUCCUUAGGCCAGACAAGACAACCAUGUAAAGAACAAAGAAUUUGAAUAUUAGAGAAUCAUAAAACACAUGAAACAAAUUACAUUUACAGAAAAUUUAAUACUUGAAUUGUAAAGAUCUAUCAUUCACACUCUUUCUUCUUAAUCGAAAAUCGGAAUACAAAACCGAUAUCAUAAAACCCUAGAUCUAAAUCCUAAUUUCGAUUCCCAAUUAUAAACCCUAGAUCUAGAUCCUAAUUUCGAUUCCCAAUUAGAAACCCUAAUCGAUUAUCAAGACCCAACAAAACUGACAAAAUCAAGACAAAAACCAUACUACAACUCCAUUUACAAGACCUAACUCCCCAGAAACUUCUCGGAUUCCGAUUACAUAACUCCCCAUAAACUUCAAGGAUUCCGAUUACAUACCUAUUUGGGUCUGAAAUCGGCUUCGUUUGGGGGGUAUCGUUUCGCCGGAAGAUUGUAUAGCGGUGGAGAGGAGGAUGAAGCUUUCCAAUCGCCGGAAU
rnacentral:lncRNA from 1 species